UCUUGGAAAUAAAAAGAGAAAUCUACCAGAGUACUACGAACAUAAAGUUUAAAACUCAAAGAGCUUGGCGGUGCUUUAGACCUUUUAGGGGAACUUGUCUUUUAAUCGACAAUCCACGUUAAACCUUACCUAUUCUUGCAAACAAUUUGUAUACCGUCGUCGUCAGGUAACUUUUAAAAAUCUAUUAGUUAGCAAAAAAAUUUAAUAAAUUUAAACGUCAGAUCAAGGUGCAAUUAAUGAAAAGGUUAAGAUGAGUUACAAUUAUACAUUAAUAAUAACACGAAAUACUGAUUGAAAUAUCGUAAUGAAGGAGGACUUGAAAGUAAAAAUAUUUAUAUAUACAGGUUGAAUUAGGCCCUGAAGCGUGC
rnacentral:rRNA from 1 species